UGGGGAAUAUUGCACAAUGGGCGCAAGCCUGAUGCAGCCAUGCCGCGUGUAUGAAGAAGGCCUCCGGGUUGUAAAGUACUUUCAGCGGGGAGGAAGGGAGUAAAGUUAAUACCUUUGCUCAUUGACGUUACCCGCAGAAGAAGCACCGGCUAACUCCGUGCCAGCAGCCGCGGUAAUACGGAGGGUGCAAGCGUUAAUCGGAAUUACUGGGCGUAAAGCGCACGCAGGCGGUUUGUUAAGUCAGAUGUGAAAUCCCCGGGCUCAACCUGGGAACUGCAUCUGAUACUGGCGAGCUUGAGUCUCGUAGAGGGGGGUAGAAUUCCAGGUGUAGCGGUGAAAUGCGUAGAGAUCUGGAGGAAUACCGGUGGCGAAGGCGGCCCCCUGGACAAAGACUGACGCUCAGGUGCGAAAACGUGGGGAGCAAACAGG
rnacentral:rRNA from 1 species